AAAAGCAGCGACUAUCGCAUUGGUUCACGAUCGUAAAGACACGUAGACGCGGAGAUAAGAAAUUCGAAAUGUGUAUUUGUUGACGCUAAUAACCGAUCAUGAUACUGCGAUCGCUUUCUGAGGCUUAUCACUCAUCUGUAAAUGGUUCCAAUCACCGAAAGUUCUAUUGGAACAGUACCAUGGCUUUUUGCGCUACACUAUUGUCACGAAAUCUCCAUGUAAAGCCAUAACAAUGUUAUCGAGUUGAAUUUAUACAAGAGAGUUUGACCAGAUUUGCAAUAUGGCUUAUAUCAUAAAUUACUCUCAACAUGCUAAGCUCGGGUGCAACCGAAAAUUUUAUACUCUUGCAACUUGGAAAUCUAUCCAGCAUAAAGUCACCUGGAAGUACGAAAAUUUUUGUAUUAGGUGUAUUGCAGCUCAGAGAGUAAUUAACCCAAUUCAACCCAUUUUGGAUACACAGAGACGCUAUUGUCAGGAAAGGUUUCUGUA